AUGCUCCUGUUGCUCAUGCAAGUGCUGGGGAUAAUUUUUGCCCUGAGAGAAACCAGAGCCCAGUCAGUGACCCAGCUGGACAUCGAAGUCUCUGUGUUUGAAGGGUCCUCACUGGAAAUGAGGUGCAACUACUCCUAUGGUGCAACACCUUACCUCUUCUGGUAUGUCCAGUACCCUAGGCAAGGCCUCCAGCUUCUCCUCAAGUACUUCUCAGGGGAAACCCUGGUCAAAGGCAUCAAUGGUUUUGAGGCUGAAUUUAAGAAAAGUGAAUCUUCCUUCAACCUGAGGAAACGCUCUGCUGGCUGGAGCGACUCUGCUGAGUACUUCUGUGCUGUGAGUGACACAGUGCUGGGAACUGCAGGGGGAGCUGAACACAAACUUCCUGAGACAGACAGGGAGACUAGUGCAAACAUGAACUUCUCUUAG